AUGGCCAUGAUUUCCGAUAGAUGCAAGAGGUGUACGGCGGUUCGUGGUUGCGGAUCGGAAGCUCAUCGGGCUGAGCGCGAUGGCGAUAACAGUGGACAUCACGGGCGCGGCUAUUUGUGGAGGUCGUCGAGGCAUCGAAGGUUGUCGCGUGCUGGCUUGAGAUCGAUGGUGGCUAGAAGACGACAGAUCACGGGUGGUUAA